UACGUAGGGGGCAAGCGUUGUUCGGAAUUACUGGGCGUAAGGGGCUCGUAGGCGGCCAACUAAGUCAGACGUGAAAUCCCUCGGCUUAACCGGGGAACUGCGUCUGAUACUGGAUGGCUUGAGUUUGGGAGAGGGAUGCGGAAUUCCAGGUGUAGCGGUGAAAUGCGUAGAUAUCUGGAGGAACACCGGUGGCGAAGGCGGCAUCCUGGACCAACACUGACGCUGAGGAGCGAAAGCCAGGGGAGCAAACGGG
rnacentral:rRNA from 1 species